GAUCCUGGCUCAGAACGAACGCUGGCGGCGCGUCUUAAGCAUGCAAGUCGAACGGCAAGAGGUAGCAAUACCUCCUAGAGUGGCGGACUGGUGAGUAACACGUGGGUGACAUACCCUUCAGAUGGGGAUAGCUAUUAGAAAUAGUAGAUAAUACCGAAUACGAGCACAGGGGUUAGAGAUCUGUGAGGAAAGGAGCUAAGGCUCCGCUGAAGGAAUGGCCUGCGGCCCAUUAGCUAGUUGGUGAGGUAAGAGCCCACCAAGGCGAUGAUGGGUAUCCGGCCUUAGAGGGUGAACGGACACAUUGGGACUGAGAUACGGCCCAGACUCCUACGGGAGGCAGCAGCUAAGAAUAUUCCGCAAUGGACGAAAGUCUGACGGAGCGACGCCGCGUGGAUGAAGAAGGCCGGAAGGUUGUAAAAUCCUUUUGAAACUGAAGAAUAAGCGUUGUAGGGAAUGACAGCGUGGUGACAGUAGGUUUUGAAUAAGCAACGGCUAAUUACGUGCCAGCAGCCGC
rnacentral:rRNA from 1 species